AGAAUGCGAGAGGUACGACGUCUGGAUUUUCGUCAUCAAUUUUACUUAUUUACAAUGAGAAAUGAUGUUGGACACACGACAACGACGACUGAUCGAAACUUUACAAGCACGUGGGGAAGCCAUUGGAAAGAUGACGCAAUAUGUACGUACGACGGUCCACAUCUUUCUUGCUGCCGCUUACUCCGCCAUUCUGAAUUAUUUCGUGGCGUUUGUCGCAAGCCAGCUUCGUCCUCUCGUUGACUGCAGAUCGAAACAACGAACACGCGGGGAAGCCAUUGGAAAGAUGACGUAACGCGUACGCGCGACGGUCCAUAGCUUCCUUCCUGCCGCCUAAUCCGCCAUUCCAAAUCGUUUCGUGGCACGCGUCGCAACAGAGCUUCGUCCGUUCGUUAAUUGCAGUUAAUUAGAAUAGUUUAUUCAACGUGUACCAUUAUUUUACAUACCGAUCGAACGUCGAAAAAGCGAUAUCCGCGGAAUGGGAGAGGUACGACGUCUGGAUUUUCGUCUUCAAUUUUACUUAUUUACAAUGAGAAAUGGUGUUGGACACACGACGACGAGUGAUCGAAACAACAAACGCGGGGAAGCCAUUGGAAUGAUGACGUAACGCGUACGCGCGACGGUCCAUAGCUUCCUUCCUGCCGCUUAAUCCGCCAUUCUAAAUUGUCUCGUGCCAAGCGUUGCACUCGAGCUUCGUCCUCUCGUUAAUUAGAAUUAUUAGUUAAUUAGAAUAUUUUAUCUAACGUUCACUCAGAUUUUAUAUAGCGACGAAUACCAAAAAUGCGAUUUCCGCGAGUGAAUUUAUUAAUAACGAUCACGCUCAAUUGCGAAAUAUAACUUAUUCUACUGCGUUCCUUAACCUAACAUAAUCAUCUAAGCCAUCGUUCUUUCGAUUAUAGAAUGGAAGAGGUACGAUGUCCGGAUUAUCAAUUUUACUUACGUACAAUAAGAAGUGAUAUUCGAAACAGGACGACGAGUGGACAUAAAUUCUGUGAAUUUGUUCGUGAGCGUUAACGAUACAGUGUGCCCUGUGUUCCUAGAAAGAAGCAAGAUGGAUUCGGCUAGAGUUCAACAGAGUAGACGUCUUCCAUUUAAGUUUAUACAUUCAUUCUUCGAUUAAGCAGUGUUCUUUCAGCGAAACUUCUUUUAGUAAUUUGCCGUCAGAGUAUAUUUUUUGUUCGAUUGUACAUUUUUUGGGAAGUGCGUUUUAUAUACGUGGAAUAGUUGAUAAUUCGGAAUUCAUUCAAAUUGAUUAACGUUGAUGUAACAUUAUUUCUUUAAUUUUACAUUAGUGGAUUCUACAUGGAUUCUUUCAACCUUCAUCGUCGUCAUGUGAUUAAUAAUCGACAUCAUCAGGAUAGGGAGGAGUUGUGCACGGUCGUCACCGCGCAGUUGAAUCUUUCUAGACGCAACCCACUUUUUAUCGAGCACUUGUUUAUGGUCGAGAUUUGUCUCGUACCAUUUUCUGUGCAUUUACGCUGGUUGCUCUGCCUUCGUCCAGCAUUAUAAAAUAACCGAGGACAUUCUACUCUCCUCCUUAUUUUUUAGACCUGCUUCAGAUGUCGUUAAUUGAUCUCACGUCGAGGACGAUCGAUGGGAAAAUCUAUGUACGCGAACGCGCUUAAUCUACAUUAUUUUAACGAGUCGUCGUCCGUCUUGGAAUAUCACUGCGAAAUAAAAAUUGUAGACUUUUCGUCGAUAGUACAUGACAGAACGAAUACUGCUUAAAUCACGGAGUGGAUGUAUCAUUCGACGGAUCGUUUCCUGAUUGCUGUAAUGCGGUUGACAGUUCUUUAGCCCACGUGGGGAAGCCAUUGCAAAGGUGACGUAAUGCGCAAGCGCGGCGGUCCACAGCCCCCUUACUGCCUCAGAAUCCUCGUUGAUUGCAGAAUGGAAGAGGUAGGACGUCCAGAUUUUCGUCAUCAAUUUUACUUAUUUACAAUAAUAAAUGGUGUUCGACACACAACAACGACUGGAUGUAGACGUGAUUUCUUUCGUUAUUGUUGACAUUACAUCGUGGCUAGUUUUCUUAAAAAUAAGCAAGAUGAAUUUAGUUACAUUCGAACAGAAUUGACAUCUUGACAGUACGAACGCUACUUAAAUCGUGGAAGGAAGCGUUCCUUGAUCUAACAACCAGCUAAGGAAUCAUUAUUUUCGAUGAUAGAAAGAAAGAAGUAUAAAGUUCAAAAUUUUCGUCAUCAGUUUUACUUAUCUAUGAUAAGCAAUGGUAUUGGACACAGGACGACAACUGAUAAGCAAUAGUUGACAUAUAUUAUUAUUUAUUUUCACGUUACCCUUUACGAUAACGUUUAGCUAAUUCUACAUUUAUUUUUUCAGGUUAUAGGCAUUGCGAUUUCGUCCGUUAUUGUUAACAAUGCAUCGUGGCCCGUGUUCCUUGAAAUAAGCAUGGUGAAUUUAGUUACAGUCGAACAGAAUUGACAUCUGUUUACACAUUCAUUCUUCGAUUAAACAGUGUUCUGUUAACGAUACUUUUACAUCCGAGUAUAUUUUUCUUCCGAUUACAUUUUUCAUUUAAUAUACAUCGAGUAGCUGAUAAUUCAAAGUUUAUUCAAGUUGGAUAACGUUAUCGUAACUUCAUUCCUUUAAUCGAUGAAAAAAUCUAUUUAAGCGAACGCGUCUUAAAUAACACUAUUUCAACGAAUCAUAUGGUCUCUCUUGAAAUAUCGCUGCGAAAUAGAAACGAUAGGCUUUUCGUCGAUAGUAUACGACAGAACGAACACUGUUUAAAUCGAAAUAUAUGUGUUAAUUGGGUCGUGGAUUCCCGGAUAGCAGUUCCUAAGUAUCACGCUCGUUAGAGCAAGAUGGUUCUCUAUUCUCUUGUCUGAUGAGGAAUACUUAACAUUUUGAUAUUUUUAUUAUAACACUAUUUUUAUUAACUUUGUUAAUUUUUUUUUUUUUUUUUUUUUUCUUUUAGGAAGCCUAUGUUGUAAUUUCGUUCUACUGUUUGGAUACGGAUAAAAGAACAAUUCAACGCUCUAGUUGGAAAUGGUCUUUGUAAAAUUGCGACUCAUGGAAAGCCUCCUUCCUCUAGGAUCUAUCAUGAAUAUGAAGAUGAGAAAGGAAAGGAAAGGAGCCAGGAAGAUGCGAUGGAAGCAAUAACGAAGGAUGGAAUCUUGAAGAAUCUUCCAUUGGAUUAAAAUCAGCAGGAAAACAACGCUUCCUUCAUUUUACCGAACCGAAAGAAGACUCGCCUCUCCUUCGUGCGUAUUGCUUCUUUAAAUCUGCUUAAGCUCCAACGUUCUACGUAAUUCUCGGCGAUAUUGCGCACCCCUAAGCGUUUCUGCGUGACACCCUAAGCGAUCCUGCGAUACCCUAAGCGUUUCUGCGACACCCUGAGCGUUUCUGCGACACCCUGAGCGUUUCUGCGACACCCUGAGCGUUUCUGCGAUACCCUGAGCGUUUCUGCGAUACCCUAAGCGUUUCUGCGAUACCCUGAGCGUUUCUGCGAUACCCUGAGCGUUUCUGCGAUACCCUGAGCGUUUCUGCGAUACCCCGAGCGUUUCUGCGACACCCUGAGGGUUUCUGCGACACCCUGAGGGUUUCUGCGACACCCCGAGCGUUUCUGCGACACCCCGAGCGUUUCUGCGACACCCCGAGCGUUUCUGCGACACCCCGAGCGUUUCUGCGACACCCCGAGCGUUUCUGCGACACCCCGAGCGUUUCUGCGACACCCCGAGCGUUUCUGCGACACCCCGAGCGUUUCUGCGACACCCCGAGCGUUUCUGCGACACCCCGAGCGUUUCUGCGACACCCCGAGCGUUUCUGCGACACCCCGAGCGUUUCUGCGACACCCCGAGCGUUUCUGCGACACCCCGAGCGUUUCUGCGACACCCCGAGCGUUUCUGCGACAUCCCGAGCGUUUCUGCGACAUCCCGAGCGUUUCUGCGACACUACCUUGAGCGUACCUUGGAUACCCUAAGCGAUCUUGCAUGAUACCCUGAGCGUUUCUGCGACACCCUCAGCGUACCUGCGCAAUCCCUAACGUCGUAUUCUGUUCAAUUCUCAGCGUUUUGCGUAACCACCAGCAUUUCAAACGAUUCCCCUGCUUUAGUCUUGCGCAUAAUUGCGAUGUUUUACGAAAAAUUACAAGAUAGAAACAAAUUUGUUAGAAUCAUUGUUAUAAUAUUGUUGGAGUUUAUAGAGCGUUGAAAAAAUGAAACUUCAAUUGGAAGGUAGUACAUCAGUUGAUUUUUUCUUUCCGGAAGGUUAACAUAAAAUUGUUUUAUACUUCACAAGAUAUUACGUGCGGUGCAACGUUUAAGCGGUUGUAUUAUUGUUUAAAUCUUAUUUUAUAUCGACCAAUCGUAUAUUAUAGAUUCUUUAAAUAAUUGUAAAGUGAUAGAAAGCAUACAUAAACUUGGGUGCGUUAAGAAAACUAUUAUUUAAGUAUAAUUUUAUAUCGAACAAACGUAUAUUGUAAACCGUUUAAAUAAUUGUAUAGUGAUAAGAAGCGUAUAUAAACAAUGGUGCGUUGAGAAAAAUAUUUAAAUAUAAUUUUAACUCGAGUAAACGUAUAGUAUAGAAUGUUCAAAUAAUUAGUUAAACUAAUAGAAAGUAUACAUAAAUUCUGAUGCGUUGAGAGAAUUAUCGUUUAAUUAUAAUUUUAUACCGAACAAACGUAUAUUGUAAAAUUGUUUAAAUAAUUGUAAAGUGAUAGAAAGCAUACAUAAAUUUGAUGCAUUAAGAGAAUUUUAGACCACCGUUGGGCGUAUCGAAAACCGUCGUCCAGUAUUUAUCCGUAACAACAAACAUCUUUUUAGACAAUUCUUAGGAUAUCGCGUGACCCCAGCUUCGCGAAUAAUUGAAAUGCUCAUAUACUAAAAAAGAAAAAAUAUUAUUUUUAUCAUUGUAAUAAGAAAGCGUCGAAAAAAAGGAAGGCAGUAUGUAAGCAGAUUUCUGUUCUGCGAAACGUUCGAUUAAAAUUAUUUUCUACGUACUACGAGCGGUAUAAAGCUUGAGCGGCGGGGUUGUAUUCUGUAAAUAUUAGUUUGAUACUACCGAGCGUACAUAUGUAGCGUACAUUGCUUAAAUGAUUGUAAAACGACAAAAAAUAAAAAUGAUCUAGGUUUAGCGCGGUUCAACGCGGUCCAACGCGUGUACCGGAAAUUUUAGGGCAUGGUAGAGCGUUUCAACUACCGUGAAUCCAUUCGUGCGUAAUUAAGCGUGUUGCGUAAUUCCGAACAGAUUGGCGUAACCCUUAGAAAUAUUGCGUAAACCCCUAACCCUUAUUUAGGUAAAUUCUCUGGCUCUGCCAGACGCAACCCAGCGAUUUCGCCCACUACGUGGUUCGGCGUAAGUAUCCAUUUGGCAAGGUAUGGGUUUUUUUUUACACGUAAGUCCUGUCGAUUUUUCGCAACGUCCAACGUGGACACCCAGAGUUUUGUCUUUUUCAGGUUAUCUGCAACCUCGGAGUUAUUUAUUCACCUACAUACUAUCGAGAUUACUGAAGCGAUGGUAUUUUUUUUGCAUAAUGUUGAGGGCAUUGCGUCGUUUUGAACGAAUGCGCGUAAUCAGUAGUUUUUUUUUUUGUAUGAAGCCCACCGUAUCUAUAUAAUCCUUACAGAUUUUGUGUAAACCUUUGCGUGUAUUCAGCUGAACUUCUGUGGUCUAACUUCGGUGUAAUCCAGAUGCGACCCAACGAUUUGCAGUAAGUAUUUUUCUCACUUACUGCCUUUAUGUUCGUUCCGUAAUUCUACGCGUGUUGCGUAAAUUGCAUAGUAUCUGCAACCCGCAGCUCAUUUUCCUAGAUACCAGCGAAGUUAUUUAAACUGCGGCAUUUUUUUUUCAUAGUUCGGGAUAUUUUCGUUUUAUCCGAAGAAUCCGCGUUAUUAUAUAGCCUAACGUCUCUGUGUAAACCGUGGCGUGUAUUUAGCUUCAUUUUAGCGUGUCUACUUAACUCUAACGUUUCCACAUUAUCACUUAGUUAUCGACCGUAUUUUUUUUUUAACGUGAUCUCUAUUCGUCGCGUAAUUCUUCGCGUAUAUCGUAAUUUGGAGGGUAUUUAGAGCCCUAGCUUAUUUUCCAUGAUACUAGAUGGGUUACUUACCCGACAGAAUAUUUGCAUAGUCCCAGGGGUACUUCCGAUGAAUCGUUGCAAUGUCCAACUUCUUUACAACGCCAAGCGAUUUUGCGAAACCUUUGCACGAUUUGAAAGCCCUAGUGUAACGUAGCGUAACGUAUUUUUACAUAACGAUCCCGAGAUUUGUCGAAAGUACUUCUUUUUUCUUUUUUCAUAAUGCUUGUCGGAGGUUUUUCUUUUUGACAUUCUUAACAGCUGCGUUAUUCGUAGAAUACUCUAAGCAGCUUAUUUUCGUAGAUACUAGCUAGGUUAUUGAAACGACAGCAUUUUUUCUUUUUUCCUUUUUUUUUAUAAUUCGUGGGGCACUCGUUAGAUCCGACGAAUCUGCGUAAAUACUAGGGUUUUACUCGUAGAUGACCGUGUACUUUCAUGUGUAUCUGCAACUAUCAGCUUAUUAAUCGAAGAUAUUACCGAGGUUAUAUGAUCGACUGCAUUUAUUUUGCAUAAUCUGUGGGGCACUCGCGUUAUUUCCGAAGAAUCUACGUAAAUACUAGGGUUUUCAGGAAAUGCAGCGUUUCUGUGUAAUCCUUGUAGAUUUGGCGUCGGUAAUAGGGCGUAUUAGGUAGCCUCCGAGAAUGCGGCGUAAUCCGAUUGUUUCCGCGUUACCACCCUGUGAUUUCGCGUAAGUACUUGCAUUUAUACGUAAUACUUGUGUAAAUUCCUGUCGGUUUUCGAUAACUCGUGGAUGACCGUGUAGUUCCCGUGUAUUUACAACUGUCGGCUUAUUAAUCGAAGAUAUUACCGAGGUUAUUUUAUCGACUGCAUUUUUUUUUUUUGCAUAAUCCGCGGGGCACUCGUUAUAUCCGACGAAUUUGCGUAACUACUAGCAUUUUCAUAAAGUCCGGCAUUUCUGCGUAACCUACAGAUUUUACAAAAAUCUAAGUACGCAAUCUACAGCGUGGGACAUAACCCCACUGUCUUCGCUUUACCAUCCGGUGAUUAGAAGUAUUUGUCCGUUUUCUUUUUAGGUAAUCCCUCGGUUUUUCAAUAAUUCCUAACGUACCGACGUAGUUCCUAGGUUUAUCAGCAAUACCCAGGUUAUUUUCUUAGAUACUAGCGAGGUUACUUAAACGAUAUUUUUGUCCUCCGAGCUUUCUCCGUAAUCUCAUUUUUUUCCGCAUAACCAUCUCGUGAUUUCGCUCAAGUAUAUUGUUUUUCCGUAAUGGAUGUCGAUUUUUCCUAACUCCUAGAUGACCGUGUAAUUUCCAGGAUAUCUGUAACGAUCAGCUUAUUAAUUCUAGAUAUUAACGAGGUUAUUUAGUCGAUAGCAUUUUUGAAUAGUCCCUGAGGCGGUUGCAUUAUUUACGUAGACUAUACGAACUACCAGCAUCUUUAUAAAGCUCAUCGUUUCUGGGUAACCCUUACAGAUUUUGGCUUAUCCGACUGGCGAUUUGAAGUAAGUAUUUGUGCUUUAUUUUUUAUUCUUAUGUAAUAUCUGUCUUCAAUAAUUACUAAUAUACCGACGUAAUUUCUAGGUUAUCCGUAGUACCCAUCUUAUUUCCCUAGAUUCUAGAGAGGUUACUUAAACGACAACAUUGUUGCAUAAUCCCAGGGGCAUAUUCGUUAUUUCUUACGAAUCAAGUAACGACCAGCGUCUUCAUAAAGUGCAGCAUUUCUGUAUAUUCUCGUAGAUUUGUCGUCAAUCCCAGAACGUAUUUAGGUGGCCUCCGAGCGUCAGGCGUAACGUCAUAGUGUCUGCAUAAGCGAAUAAAUUUGUUUUUACCUAACGCUUGUCAAAAUGCUUGUCGAUUUUGCAUAAUUCCUAGAUGUCCGUGUAAUUUCCACGGUAUCUUCAUCCACCAACUUACUAAUCCUAGAUAUUAACGUAGUUAUUUAAUAAACAGCAAUUAGCAUAGUCCGUGGGGCGUUUGCGUUAUUAUCGAAAAAUCGGCGUAACCACCAGCAUUUCCAUAAAGCUCGUUUCUAUGUAACCCUUACAAAUUUUGCAAAAAUUCUAGUACGUAUUAUGGUGGUUUACAGUGGUUCGACGUAAUUCCACAGUAAUCGCAUAAAAACCAUCCAGUGAUAUGAAGUAAUUAUUUUUCUUAUGUUCCUCUCUCUUAGGUAAUCGAUUGGUUUUUCCUGUUUAUCUGUAAUGCCCAGCUUAUUUUUCUAAAUAUUACGUAGAAUCGAUAAAUGACAACAUAUUUGCAUAAUCCCAGGGGUACCGCCGUAUGGGUGUGAACGUAAGUGUGUACGUACGAAUGAGAGCGUAGAGUGCCUCUACCGGCCAUUUUCUAAAACAGGUAGCAGGCCUCCGUAAUUUCCGUGUAAUCACUCUCAGACUGAUUUUAGUGUAUAAUAUUUGUUUCAUUUUAUUGUAUACUAUUUGCCUGAUUUUAUUGUAUAAUAUUUGUCUCAUUUUAAUAUAUACUAUUUGUCUAAUUUUAUUGCAUGAUAUUUGUGUGAUUUUAUUAUAUAAUAUUAAACAGAGGAGAAACUAUAAGUAGACAUCAGAAUUUGAAUGUUUGUGAUUGAUCAUUUAUACGACGCCUUUGAAUAAUCGUCUAAAAAGAAAACGGUUACAUCAAGCUUGCGUCUUUAUUGAAUAAGAGACACGACUGAGCUUCGAUGACAUUCCGCCUGCAGUACGUCUGAUUUGCGUUCAGUAUUCUAUCAGACUUCCUUCUGUUUCAUGUUAAAUUAUGCGGCAUAAGCUGUGGAAAGAUUGUAAAAGAGACGUAUAAGAACUGUAUGAGAGUUGUGCAAAAGUUGUGUGAGAUGUCCAAAAUGUGUGUAAAAGUUGUGUGAGACUUACGUAAAAGGUGCGUAAAACUUGUGAGAAAAUUCUGUAAAAGUUGUAGAAAAAGUAUUGUCUGAAGGUUGUGUCUGAGGUUGUGUCUGAGGUUGUGUCUGAAGGUUGUGUUUGAAGGUUGGGUCUGAGGUUGUGUCUGCAGGUUGUGUCUGAAGGUAGUGUCUGAAGGUUGGGUCUGAGGUUGCGUCUGAAGGUUGUGUCCGAAGGUUGCGUCCG